CAUUCAGAAACUUCUAGCAAUUGCGCAAAGAGUGUUUGGCAAACAAGUUUUUUUUUUUACGUAAUAUCUGUUUUGAAUUCAUACACAAAGAAAAGCAGCAUUCACAGAUAACUGGACAACCGAAAUGUCAAGCAACCAAAGUAGUCAAAAUUCUGAGCUUCCACAAGAUAUUCUGAACAAAAUUUCCGAAUACUUGAGAGAUCAGACGAAAAAUUUUGUGACGCUGAUUUGUUUUUUUCGCUGACAAUGACAACGAAAGCACCACAAAGUACAUCAAAAUUUUGAGAACUGUUUUCAAUAACGAAAAGGCAUUCGAAGGCGUGGUGGAUAAGCUGGUGGAAGACACAACGAAGCUCAGAGAUGAUCCCAACUAUCUCCGGGUAAUGGCCGACAUUUGGAACAAUUAUUUGGAACCCAACGAAAAGAAGAAUGUCGGCGACGGACAGCGAUUUGAUUUCCAGUUGAUUCUGUCCAACAAGGAGCUAAUGGAAGCAACUACUUCCUACAACUUCAUCGCCACACUAUCAAAGCUUGAUCCGUCAGCUCAGGAAAGGGUGGUUCAACUGAUGAUAAACGCAGCAAUGAACACGGUGGGAACUGAUUUAGCGUUAACAUUAAAUCAAAGUUUCAACAACCUCCUGCAAGUGUCGAGAUAACCAGCAGCAGGAAAAAUGGUGUCAGUUGGUUUGCUGGCCGUUUAUCUCAAUAUCGAAGUUUGGAAUAAUUUGAAACUUUGGUGGAGAGGAGAGAUUUCAGGAAAACGGUGUGCCAAAAACAUCAUCGACAGUUUGGCAGGAGUAGCAGGCGGAUAUGGUGGAGGAAUGGCUGGAGCCGCAAUGGGCACUUACAUUUUCCCUGUUUUUGGCACUGUAAUCGGAGGAGUUGUUGGCAGUAUAGCUGGAACGACAGUGACAACCAGUCUGUGCGACUGGGCUACUCAAAAGAUAUUCGACUUGCCCAAAGAUGUUGCACUAGAAAACGCAUACAGAUUUCUAGGAUUACAAAAUGGCGCAUCGAAUAAUGAAAUCAAUUCGAGUUUUAGGCAUCUGGCAUUGAUGUAUCAUCCGGACAAGGGCGGAAACUACGACGAUUGGCACAAACUUCAAUUUUCUAUGGCCAUCAUCAAAAUGUCUAAAGGUGAAAUUUAAACGUCCUCAUCACCUCCAGCGAUUCUUAGGCACAUUUCGAUGGUUAAAAACUUUAAUAUUGGAUGUGCAAAUACAUACGUCUGUUUAAUCGGGAAAUUUUAAAAGAAGUGAUAAUAUUUCUGUCGAUAAUGUGACGUAACGUUGUUAAAAAUUAGAUUGCCAUUCUUGACAUGACAAACGCAGUGUUAAACCCGAUGCUUCAAAUGGUAAUACACUACAUAUUCUGAUGCA